rnacentral:rRNA from 1 species
AGCGAACGCUGGCGGCAGGCCUAAUACAUGCAAGUCGAGCGCCCCUUCGGGGGAGCGGCGGACGGGUGAGUAACGCGUGGGAGUAUGCCCUUUGGUACGGAACAACUGGGGGAAACUUCAGCUAAUACCGUAUGUGCCCUUCGGGGGAAAGAUUUAUCGCCAUUGGAGUAGCCCGCGUUGGAUUAGCUAGUUGGUAGGGUAAAGGCCUACCAAGGCUACGAUCCAUAGCUGGUCUGAGAGGAUGAUCAGCCACAUUGGGACUGAGACACGGCCCAAACUCCUACGGGAGGCAGCAGUAGGGAACCUUGCGCAAUGGGCGAAAGCCUGACGCAGCCAUGCCGCGUGAAUGAUGAAGGUCUUAGGGAUUGUAAAAUUCUUUUCACCGGGGAAGAUAAUGACGGUACCCGGAGAAGAAGCCCCGGGCUAACUUCGUGCCAGCAGCCGCAGUAAU